rnacentral:tRNA from 1 species
ACAUGUGUGGCGUAGUGGUUUGAGUGUUGGACUAUGACUCUAGAGACCAGGGUUUGAAUCCUUACUCAGCCA